rnacentral:rRNA from 1 species
CAGUAGCCGCGGGAAAACGUAGGGUGCGAGCGUUAAUCGGAAUUACUGGGCGUAGAGCGUGCGCAGGCGGUUUUGUAAGACAGGCGUGAAAUCCCCGGGCUCAACCUGGGAAUGGCGCUUGUGACUGCAAAGCUAGAGUGCGGCAGAGGGGGAUGGAAUUCCGCGUGUAGCAGUGAAAUGCGUAGAUAUGCGGAGGAACACCGAUGGCGAAGGCAAUCCCCUGGGCCUGCACUGACGCUGAGGCGCGAAAGCGUGGGGAGCAAACAGGAUUAGAUACCCCCGUAGUCCCUGUCUCUUAUAC